rnacentral:rRNA from 1 species
CAGUAGCCACGGAAUACGGAGGGUGCAAGCGUUAAUCGGAAUUACUGGGCGUAAAGCGCACGCAGGCGGUCUGUCAAGUCAGAUGUGAAAUCCCCGGGCUUAACCUGGGAACUGCAUUUGAAACUGGCAGGCUAGAGUCUUGUAGAGGGGGGUAGAAUUCCAGGUGUAGCGGUGAAAUGCGUAGAGAUCUGGAGGAAUACCGGUGGCGAAGGCGGCCCCCUGGACAAAGACUGACGCUCAGGUGCGAAAGCGUGGGGAGCAAACAGGAUUAGAUACCCGCGUAGUCCCUGUCUCUUAUACA